CGGCGUGCUUAACACAUGCAAGUCGAACGAAGCGCUUACCGGAUUCUUCGGAAUGAAAGUUUUGUGACUGAGUGGCGGACGGGUGAGUAACGCGUGGGUAACCUGCCUCAUACAGGGGGAUAACAGUUAGAAAUGACUGCUAAUACCGCAUAAGACCACAGGACCGCAUGGUCCAGUGGUAAAAACUCCGGUGGUAUGAGAUGGACCCGCGUCUGAUUAGCUAGUUGGUAAGGUAACGGCUUACCAAGGCGACGAUCAGUAGCCGACCUGAGAGGGUGACCGGCCACAUUGGGACUGAGACACGGCCCAAACUCCUACGGGAGGCAGCAGUGGGGAAUAUUGCACAAUGGGGGAAACCCUGAUGCAGCGACGCCGCGUGAGCGAUGAAGUAUUUCGGUAUGUAAAGCUCUAUCAGCAGGGAAGAAUUAGGACGGUACCUGACUAAGAAGCACCGGCUAAAUACGUGCCAGCAGCCGCGGUAAUACGUAUGGUGCAAGCGUUAUCCGGAUUUACUGGGUGUAAAGGGAGCGUAGACGGAGAGGCAAGUCUGAUGUGAAAACCCGGGGCUCAACCCCGGGACUGCAUUGGAAACUGUUUUUCUAGAGUGUCGGAGAGGUAAGUGGAAUUCCUAGUGUAGCGGUGAAAUGCGUAGAUA
rnacentral:rRNA from 1 species